rnacentral:rRNA from 1 species
GAUGAACGCUGGCGGCGUGCUUAACACAUGCAAGUCGAACGGUGAACCCGGAGCUUGCGCUUUGGGAUCAGUGGCACACGGGUGUGUAACACGUGUGCAACCUGCCCCUGACUCGGGUAUAAGCGCUGGAAACGGCGUCUAAUACUGGAUAUGUGACGUGACCGCAUGGUCUGCGUGUGGGAAGAUUUUUCGGUUGGGGAUGGGCUUGCGGCCUAUCAGCUUGUUGGUGAGGUAAUGGCUCACCAAGGCGUCGACGGGUAGCCGGCCUGAGAGGGUGACCGGCCACACUGGGAUUGAGACACGGCCCAGACUCCUACGGGAGGCAGCAGUGGGGAAUAUUGCACAAUGGGCGCAAGCCUGAUGCAGCAACGCCGCGUGAGGGAUGACGGCCUUCGGGUUGUAAACCUCUUUCAGCAGGGAAGAAGCGAAAGUGACGGUACCUGCAGAAAAAGCGCCGGCUAACUACGUG